rnacentral:rRNA from 1 species
GACGAACGCUGGCGGCGUGCUUAACACAUGCAAGUCGAGCGGUAAGGCCCUUUCGGGGGUACACGAGCGGCGAACGGGUGAGUAACACGUGGGUGACCUGCCCUCAGCUCUGGGAUAAGCCUGGGAAACCGGGUCUAAUACCGGAUAUGACUCCAUGACGCAUGUUGUGGGGUGGAAAGCCUUGUGCGGCUGAGGAUGGGCCCGCGGCCUAUCAGCUUGUUGGUGGGGUGAUGGCCUACCAAGGCGACGACGGUAGCCGGCCUGAGAGGGCGACCGGCCACACUGGGACUGA